UAUUGGUUUGCGGUACAGGUAUGCAUUAACUGGCCAUCUAACAACAAAAUCAGAUGUGUACAGCUAUGGGGUUGUCCUUUUGGAGUUGCUCACUGGCAGAGUUCCAGUGGAUAUGAAGAGAGCUUCUGGGGAAGGUGUUCUUGUAUCUUGGGCUUUGCCCCACCUCACAGAUAGAGAGAAGGUUGUACAGAUAAUGGAUCCAGCACUGGAGGGUCAAUACUCCAUGAAAGAGGUUAUUCAGGUGGCUGCUAUAGCUGCAAUGUGUGUGCAACCAGAAACAAAAGAAAAAAGUCUUUUAGAUGAAGGAUUCUGAGGAGAAAAAGAAAAAGAAAAAGUUCUGAUUUUUAAAGGAAAAGCAGAGAUAGGGACAAAGAGGUACAGAGGAAAAAAUUCAAAGAGCGCUCGAAGAGAGAGAGAAAGAACCAGAAACAAAAGGAAAACAUAAAGGAAAAUAAAGGAGAAGACAUUUAAAGGACAGAGAAUGAGGGCUAGUCAUUUUAUCAGCUAUAGGAGGGGAUGCAACUUGCUUGAAGCUUGGUCAACAAGGUUUGGAGGAGUUGUUAUAGGUAUGGCUGUAGUAAGUUUCUGGUUCAUUGGUUCAUUUCAAUUAUCAUGCAUUCCUUUUCUUUUUUCUGUCGAUCUUCCGAUGUCGUUUGUUGUUUGGUGUGGACAUUAAGGGUCACAAGAAGGUUUUGCUGAAACUGUAGCAGAGAUGAGUCGAACACAACUUGGAGAACAUCAAGGUAUUAAUAGAAUUUUGGACACCUUGUGAUGAAUUA